rnacentral:rRNA from 1 species
GUACACGCUGUGACUAGCAUAUCAAUAAGCGGAGGAAAAGAAACUAACAAGGAUUCCCCUAGUAACGGCGAGUGAAGCGGGAAGAGCUCAAAUUUGAAAUCUUAAAGGGUUUCCCUUUACGAAUUGUAGUUUAAAGAAGUGUUUUCUGUUGAGGUUUUGGUAAAAGUUCUUUGGAAUAGGACAUCAUAGAGGGUGAGAAUCCCGUAUUUGACCUUUACUUUCAACUUUGUGAUACACUUUCAAAGAGUCGGAUUAUUUGGGAAUGCAGUCCAAAAUGGGUGGUAAAUUUCAUCUAAAGCUAAAUAUUGGCGAGAGACCGAUAGCGAACAAGUACCGUGAGGGAAAGAUGAAAAGAACUUUGAAAAGAGAGUUAAACAGUACGUGAAAUUGUCAAAAGGGAAGCGUUUGACACCAGUGUUGUUUUUCUGAAAAUCAAUUAAAGAACUGUUUAUGCUAAGCUGUUUAGACUUUAUCAGCUAACUGUUUAGUUUUGAGCUUUUCUUUAAUGCACUUUUCAGUUAACAAGUCAACAUCAAUUUCUUUUGCUGUAAAAAAGCUUGAGGAAGGUGGCUUGAGAUUCGUCUUAAGUGUUUAUAGCCUCUUGCCUAUGCAGUCGGAGAGAUUGAGGUCUGCAGCGUAGAUCCUUCGGGGCUAAAUGCAUUUGUGCUAAGUUAUAAGCAUUUUAUAGACAACUUGUUGACUAUGAUUUGUCUUGUAGCUUACUCGCUUAUGUUAUUUUACCUACGCUUAGGAUGUUGAAGUCAUCGUAUCGCGC